rnacentral:lncRNA from 1 species
AAAGUAGCGUGAAUGAUGGGACAAGUGUGCCCAAACUAUGAAUAUUUUGAGGAUUAAUGGUGAUAUUAUGGCAUGUCCGGCUUGAAAUUUCUAGAACCAUCUAUGAAGAGCUGUUCAACCACCAGCCCCAUCUUGAAACAAGAAGAUGUAAGGCUUCUCUGGUCUGUAUAAGUAAAUAUGGAACUCUGGGCAUUAAAGAGAGUAACGUCAGAUGUUAAUAUGGCUUUGGAAUUUGUUCGUUGACUUCAUGCCCCUAUUUUAAUAAAAG